GUUAGAACGCUCGUAGUCGGAUUUCGGGGCGGGCCGACCGGUCUGCCGAUGGGUACGCACUGGUCGGCGCGUCCUUCCUUCCGGAGACCGUGCCUACUCUUAACUGAGCGGGGGCGGGAGACGGAACGUUUACUUUGAAAAAAUCAGAGUGUUUCAAGCAGGCAGCUCGCUCUUGCAUGGAUUAGCAUGGGAUAAUGAAAUAGGACUUUGGUGCUAUUUUGUUGGUUUCGAACACCGAAGUAAUGAUGAGAAGGGACAGUCAGGGGCACUCGUAUUCCGCCGAGAGAGGUGAAAUUCUCAGACCAGCGGAAGACGAACCACUGCGAAAGCAUUUGCCAGGGAUGUUUUCACUGAUCAAGAACGAAAGUUAGGGGAUCGAAGACGAUCAGAUACCGUCGUAGUCUUAACCAUAAACCAUGCCGACUAGGGAUUGGAGGAUGUUCACUGAUUGACUCCUUCAGCACCUUACGGGAAACUAAAGUCUUUGGGUUCCGGGGGGAGUAUGGUCGCAAGGCUGAAACUUAAAGGAAUUGACGGAAGGGCACCACCAGGUGUGGAGCCUGCGGCUUAAUUUGACUCAACACGGGGAAACUUACCAGGUCCAGACAUUGUGAGGAUUGACAGAUUGAGAGCUCUUUCUUGAUUCGAUGGGUGGUGGUGCAUGGCCGUUCUUAGUUGGUGGAGUGAUUUGUCUGGUUAAUUCCGUUAAC
rnacentral:rRNA from 1 species